AUGGUACUUUUUGUAGAACGGUCCGGCGAGCGAAUGUAUGCAGCGAGGUUAAGAACUUCUGGUUUGAAGCCGAAGCGAAAGCGAGUCUGAAAGGGGCGGCAAGUUGCAUGCAUUGAGCCCGAAACCGGGUGACCUAUCCAUGGUCAGGCUGAAGUGGAGGUAAAACUCCAUGGAGGGCCGAACCGACCUCCGUUGAAAUGGCGGCGGAUGAACUGUGGAUAGCGGAGAAAUUCCAAACGAACCCGGAGAUAGCUGGUUCUCCCCGAAAUAGCUUUAGGGCUAGCCUCGAUGAAGAUUGCCGCAGGUAGAGCACUGAAUAGGGAAGGGGUCGAGAGAUUACCGAACCUUAUCAAACUUCGAAUGGCGGACAAUGAGAGACAUCGGGAGUCAGACAGUGGGAGAUAAGUUUCAUUGUCGAGAGGGAAACAGCCCAGAUCUACAGCUAAGGUCCCAAAGUAUACUUAAGUGGAAAAGGAUGUGGAAUUGCACAAACAACCAGGAUGUUGGCUCAGAAGCAGCCACACAUUUAAAGAGUGCGUAAUAGCUCACUGGUCUAGUGACUCUGCGCCGAAGAUUUAACGGGGCUAAAGUAUACACCGAAGCUUAGGCAUCGAGAGAUGGGUAGGGGAGCGUCGAAUAGGAGGCGAAGCAUCAGCGGAAGCGGAUGUGGAUCGUAUUCGAGUGAGAAUGCCGGAAUGAGUAGCGCGAAUUGAGUGAGAAUCUCAAUGGCCGAAAACCUAAGGAUUUUGGAGGAAGGUUCGUCCGCUCCAAGUUAGUCGGGAGCUAAGGCGAGGCCGAAAGGCGUAGUCGAUGCACACACGGCAGAUAUUCCGUGACCACCGAAAUAUUUAAGCACGAGGACACUUUCAGAAGGUAAAAGCAGGCGUUGGUAGCCCUGCGGCAGCUGGAUGGGAGGCGAGAAAAGUCGUGAGGUAUAUAUGAGGUGCCCGUACCGCAAACCGACACAGGUAGGAAGGAAGAGGAUUCUAAGGCCAACGGGAGAAGGGUUGUUAAGGAACUCGGCAAGUUGACCCCGUAACUUAGGGAUAAGGGGUGCCUACGAAAGUAGGCCGCAGAGAAUAGGUCCAGGCAACUGUUUAUCAAAAACACAGGUCUGUGCUAAAUCGAAAGAUGAAGUAUACGGGCUGACACCUGCCCGGUGCUGGAAGGUUAAGAGGAGAUGUGAGAGCAUUGAAUCGAAGCCCCAGUAAACGGCGGCUGUAACUAUAACAGUCCUAAGGUAGCGAAAUUCCUUGUCAGGUAAG
rnacentral:rRNA from 1 species